rnacentral:tRNA from 1 species
GUCUGGCUGGCUCAGUUGGUAGAGCAUGUAGCUCUUAAUCUCAGGGUCAUGAGUUCAAGCCCCAUGUUGGGCA